rnacentral:rRNA from 1 species
AGGACGAACGCUGGCGGCGUGCUUAACACAUGCAAGUCGAACGAGGUGCUUCGGCACUUAGUGGCGAACGGGUGAGUAACACGUGAGCAACCUGCCCUUGGCUCUGGGAUAGCCUCCGGAAACGGGGAUUAAUACCGGACAUGACCUUCCCCGGCAUCGGGGUUGGUGGAAAGUUUUUCGGCCAGGGAGGGGCUCGCGGCCUAUCAGCUUGUUGGGGGGGUAACGCUCACCAAGGCGACGACGGGUAGCC